rnacentral:lncRNA from 1 species
AGUCAUUUGGUUCUCCAUUCGGUAUUGUUAACAAUUCUGUGGUCUUCUUUGUGUUGAAUCAAUUGUGCAUGACUCAUCUUGUGAAGUUAAAUUGGAAUAGAAAUCAAAUUAUAAGUUGUGAAUUGUAGCAAAAGAAAGUGAAAGUAUAAAAGCAUGAGUUCUUGUAAUUUGAAAAGAAAAAGCAUCUAGAAAAGAAGUAUUGACUGAACCACAUAAAAAGAAAAGUGGCAAGUGCAAUUCACAACACAGUUUCAUUCUUGAUGUU